rnacentral:rRNA from 1 species
UACGGAGGGUGCAAGCGUUAUCCGGAUUCACUGGGUUUAAAGGGUGCGUAGGUGGGCCUGUAAGUCAGCGGUGAAAUCUCCGGGCUUAACCCGGAAACUGCCAUUGAUACUAUAGGUCUUGAAUUAUCUGGAGGUAAGCGGAAUAUGUCAUGUAGCGGUGAAAUGCUUAGAUAUGACAUAGAACACCUAUUGCGAAGGCAGCUGACUACGGGAAAUAUUGACGCUGAGGCACGAAAGCGUGGGGAUCAA